rnacentral:rRNA from 1 species
GCGGCGGACGGGUGAGUAACGCGUGGGUAACCUACCCUGUACACACGGAUAACAUACCGAAAGGUAUGCUAAUACGGGAUAAUAUAUUUGAGAGGCAUCUCUUAAAUAUCAAAGGUGAGCCAGUACAGGAUGGACCCGCGUCUGAUUAGCUAGUUGGUAAGGUAACGGCUUACCAAGGCGACGAUCAGUAGCCGACCUGAGAGGGUGAUCGGCCACAU